rnacentral:rRNA from 1 species
UUCUGGUGGGGCGCGGCGAAUGGUGAGAGGAAAGUACAUUCGAUCUCAUGGCAAAAAAUGUGUGAGGCCAAAAGGUAUGGUGGCAUGGGCUUUAGAGACCCUGAGGUGUUUAAUGAAGCUUUGCUCGCAAAGCAGGCCUGGAGAAUCAUACAGGUGCCGACGUCGUUAUGCGCCAGAGUCCUCAAGGCGAGGUAUUUCAGUGAGGACUCAAUACUUACUGCAACCUGCUCAUCGACGGCAUCAUAUACUUUCCGCAGCAUUUUGCAUGGGCAAGAUCUCCUCCGGGAGGGACUGAUCUGGCGCAUUGGGGAUGGGUCCCAAGUGCGUAUUCACCAUGCCAACUGGAUCCCGCGAAGCAACAACGUGAAGCUGCUUGGGAAGGGCUACAUGUCGGGUGUCACUCGGGUCGCACAUCUCCUGUCACCUGAUGGUAAGAGUUGGAACAUGGGAAGGUUGCAGACAAUGUUCACACUGGAUGACGUGCAUGAUAUACAGCAAAUUGCGGUGGGAGGACCAGGCCGGUCAGAUUAUCUGGCAUGGAACUAUACAAAGGAUGGGUGUUUCACGGUCAAAUCGGCAUAUCAUAUGUGCAUGGCAAAGUCAAGAGCAAGGUCUGGACAACCAGAUACAUCUAGCUCAGUUACGAAGCACAGAGGAUACAUGGCAUUAUGA